UACGUAGGUGGCAAGCGUUGUCCUGAAUUACUGGGUGUAAAGCGCGUGUAGGCGGCAGACCAAGUCGGCGGUGAAAGCGCCCGGCUCAACUGGGCGAGGUCCGUGGAAACUGGUCAGCUGGAGGACGGUAGAGGCGAGUGGAAUUCCCGGUGUAGUGGUGAAAUGCGUAGAGAUCGGGAGGAACACCUGUGGCGAAGGCGGCUCGCUGGGCCGGUCCUGACGCUGAGACGCGAAGGCGUGGGGAGCGAACGGG
rnacentral:rRNA from 1 species